UACGUAGGUGGCAAGCGUUGUCCGGAAUUAUUGGGCGUAAAGCGCGCGCAGGCGGUCCUUUAAGUCUGAUGUGAAAGCCCACGGCUCAACCGUGGAGGGUCAUUGGAAACUGGGGGACUUGAGUACAGAAGAGAAGAGUGGAAUUCCACGUGUAGCGGUGAAAUGUGUAGAGAUGUGGAGGAACACCAGUGGCGAAGGCGACUCUAUGGUCUGUAACUGACGCUGAGGCGCGAAAGCGUGGGGAGCAAACAGG
rnacentral:rRNA from 1 species